GUGGAUUAGUGGCGAACGGGUGAGUAACACGUGGGCAAUCUGCCCUUCACUCUGGGACAAGCCCUGGAAACGGGGUCUAAUACCGGAUAACACCGGCUUCCGCAUGGGAGCUGGUUGAAAGCUCCGGCGGUGAAGGAUGAGCCCGCGGCCUAUCAGCUUGUUGGUGGGGUAAUGGCCUACCAAGGCGACGACGGGUAGCCGGCCUGAGAGGGCGACCGGCCACACUGGGACUGAGACACGGCCCAGACUCCUACGGGAGGCAGCAGUGGGGAAUAUUGCACAAUGGGCGAAAGCCUGAUGCAGCGACGCCGCGUGAGGGAUGACGGCCUUCGGGUUGUAAACCUCUUUCAGCAGGGAAGAAGCGAAAGUGACGGUACCUGCAGAAGAAGCGCCGGCUAACUACGUGCCAGCAGCCGCGGUAAUACGUAGGGCGCAAGCGUUGUCCGGAAUUAUUGGGCGUAAAGAGCUCGUAGGCGGCUUGUCACGUCGGGUGUGAAAGCCCGGGGCUUAACCCCGGGUCUGCAUCCGAUACGGGCAGGCUAGAGUGUGGUAGGGGAGAUCGGAAUUCCUGGUGUAGCGGUGAAAUGCGCAGAUAUCAGGAGGAACACCGGUGGCGAAGGCGGAUCUCUGGGCCAUUACUGACGCUGAGGAGCGAAAGCGUGGGGAGCGAACAGGAUUAGAUACCCUGGUAGUC
rnacentral:rRNA from 1 species